GACGAACGCUGGCGGCGUGCCUAAUACAUGCAAGUCGAACGCACUCUCGUUUAGAUUGAAGGAGCUUGCUCCUGAUUGAUAAACAUUUGAGUGAGUGGCGGACGGGUGAGUAACACGUGGGUAACCUGCCCUAAAGUGGGGGAUAACAUUUGGAAACAGAUGCUAAUACCGCAUAAAACCUAAACACCGCAUGGUGUAGGGUUGAAAGAUGGUUUCGGCUAUCACUUUAGGAUGGACCCGCGGUGCAUUAGUUAGUUGGUGAGGUAAAGGCUCACCAAGACCGUGAUGCAUAGCCGACCUGAGAGGGUAAUCGGCCACACUGGGACUGAGACACGGCCCAGACUCCUACGGGAGGCAGCAGUAGGGAAUCUUUCCCACAAUGGACGAAAGUCUGAUGGAGCAACGCCGCGUGAGUGAAGAA
rnacentral:rRNA from 1 species